rnacentral:lncRNA from 1 species
UUUGAUAAGUCUUUACUGCCUACCGUUUGAGACAGACUAGCCGUACCAUGAACGGGUACGAUCGCUUUAGGUGUAGAAGACAUACCUGGCGCCUCUGUGGAAGAGGACGCUAUACUUUGUAACGCCUUAAACACUUCUGGAGAUUGACUUAGCUGUUCAAUCCAUUUUUUAAGAUCUGGAGAAAGUUUAGUGUUUAGGGUUUUAGGUAAAUCUUCUGAAUGCUCAGAGAGAGCUUUAGUGGGUGAUUCAGGUUCUUCUUUAGGGGCUUUGCCCUUAUCCUUUUUC